AUGAGCAAAACGCUGGCUCCCAAAUACAGGGGUUUGUCCACCUACGAGAAGGAGUGUUUGGCUAUCCUUACGACAGUGGAGAAAUGGCGACCUUACCUACACCAUGACGAGUUUCUGAUAAGAACGGAUCAGCACAGUUUAGUACAAUUGGAUGAUCAACGACUAUCAAUAGUGUGGCAGCAGAAAGCAUUUACCAAACUCUUGGUCCCGCGCUACAAAAUUUGCUACCGUUAG
rnacentral:rRNA from 1 species